rnacentral:rRNA from 1 species
UACAGGGGGGGCAAGGCUUGUUUCGGGAAUUACUGGGCGUAAAGGGCCAGUAGGCGCCAACUAAGUCCGACUGAAAUCCCAGACCUUAACUUGGGAACUGCGUCGGAUACUGGAUGGCUUGAAUUCGGGAGAGGGAUGCAGAAUUCCAGGUGUAGCGGUGAAAUGCGCAGAUAUCAGGGAGGAACACCGGUGGCGGAAGGCGGGUCUCUGGACCGAUACUGACACUGAGGAGCGAAAGCGUGGGGAGCGAACAGG